UACAGGGGGUGCAAACGUUGCUCGGAAUCAUUGGGCGUAAAGCGCACGUAGGCGGUCUGUUAUGUCGGAUGUGAAAGCCCUUGGCUUAACUGAGGAAGUGCAUCCGAAACUGGCAGGCUAGAGUACUAAAGAGGGUCGCGGAAUUCCCGGUGUAGAGGUGAAAUGCGCAGAUAUCGGAAAGAACACCAACGGCGAAAGCACUCUGCUGGGCCGACACUGACACUGAGAGACGAAAGCUAGGGGAGCGAAUGGG
rnacentral:rRNA from 1 species